rnacentral:miRNA from 1 species
CGAGGAGGCUGCAGUUCCCCGAGA